AUUGAACGCUGGCGGCAGGCCUAACACAUGCAAGUCGGGCGGAUGAAGGGAGCUUGCUCCUGGAUUCAGCGGCGGACGGGUGAGUAAUGCCUAGGAAUCUGCCUGGUAGUGGGGGAUAACGUCCGGAAACGGGCGCUAAUACCGCAUACGUCCUGAGGGAGAAAGUGGGGGAUCUUCGGACCUCACGCUAUCAGAUGAGCCUAGGUCGGAUUAGCUAGUUGGUGGGGUAAAGGCCUACCAAGGCGACGAUCCGUAACUGGUCUGAGAGGAUGAUCAGUCACACUGGAACUGAGACACGGUCCAGACUCCUACGGGAGGCAGCAGUGGGGAAUAUUAGACAAUGGGCGAAAGCCUGAUCCAGCCAUGCCGCGUGUGUGAAGAAGGUCUUCGGAUUGUAAAGCACUUUAAGUUGGGAGGAAGGGCAGUAAGUUAAUACCUUGCUGUUUUGACGUUACCAACAGAAUAAGCACCGGCUAACUUCGUG
rnacentral:rRNA from 1 species